rnacentral:rRNA from 1 species
UACGUAGGGGUGCAAGCGUUGUCCGGAUUUAUUGGGCGUAAAAGAGCGUGUAGGCGGCCAGGUAGGUCCGGUGUGAAAACUCGAGGCUUAACCUCGAGAUGUCAUCGGAAACCAUCUGGCUAGAGUCCGGAAGAGGAAAAGUGGAAUUCCUGGUGUAGCGGUGAAAAUGCGCAGAUAUCAGGAAGAACACCAAUGGCGAAAGCAGCUUUCUGGGACGGUACUGACGCUGAGAACGCGAAAGCGUGGGGAGCGAACAGG